rnacentral:rRNA from 1 species
UACGUAGGGUGCGAGCGUUGUCCGGAAUUACUGGGCGUAAAGGGUGCGUAGGCGGGUCUUUAAGUCAGGGGUGAAAUCCUGGAGCUCAACUCCAGAACUGCCUUUGAUACUGAAGAUCUUGAGUUCGGGAGAGGUGAGUGGAACUGCGAGUGUAGAGGUGAAAUUCGUAGAUAUUCGCAAGAACACCAGUGGCGAAGGCGGCUCACUGGCCCGAUACUGACGCUGAGGAGCGAAAGCGUGGGGAGCGAACAGG